GACGAACGCUGGCGGCGUGCUUAACACAUGCCAGUCGAACGGAAAGGCCCUGCUUGCAGGGUACUCGAGUGGCGAACGGGUGAGUAAAACGUGGGUGAUCUGCCCUGCACUUCGGGAUAAGCCUGGGAAACUGGGUCUAAUACCGGAGAGGAGCCAUUUUUAGUGUGAUGGUUGGAAAGUUUUUUCGGUGUAGGAUGGGCUCGCGGCCUAUCAGCUUGUUGGUGGGGUAAUGGCCUACCAAGGCGGCGACGGGUAGCCGGCCUGAGAGGGUGGACGGCCACAUUGGGACUGAGAUACGGCCCAGACUCCUACGGGAGGCAGCAGUGGGGAAUAUUGCACAAUGGGCGCAAGCCUGAUGCAGCGACGCCGCGUGGGGGAUGACGGCCUUCGGGUUGUAAACUCCUUUCGCUAGGGACGAAGCUUUUUGUGACGGUACCUAGAUAAGAAGCACCGGCUAACUACGUG
rnacentral:rRNA from 1 species